rnacentral:lncRNA from 1 species
GAAUCUUUGGUAGCACUAAGUAGCAGCCGCCCCAGUAAUAUGGGGAUGUAGACUCCGGGGUGCACUUUAACCCCCCAGUCUCUGUCCACACCUGCUAUCCUUACCUGUUUGAUUCUACUAUAGACUAUGACCCUAACCUAAUGUUUUUGUAGGCUUUCUCCAAGAAAUAGUGCAAGAGAUGAGAGGGAUCUUACCUUUGUUCUUGGCCAGACUUAGCUUUAAGAACUGGUUCUACCACUUACUAUUUGUGUGGUCUUGAGCAAACCUGAUCUAAGUAAGCUUCCACUUCUGCAUCUGAAAAAAAGGGCUGAGAACUCCUACCCAGCAAAUUGGUUUGCAGAUCAGAGGCCUUAUAUGAGAAGUACUUAACACAGUACCAGGCAUGUGGUAGAAGCUCAGUACAUGGCAGCAAGUAUAAUGGAAACAUCUCCUGAAACAUUUUGUGAGAAAAGGUCAAUUUCUGCCCAAUCAGUGACUUAAGUUCAAGGUGGAAAGGUUCUUUGAAUAUAU